rnacentral:rRNA from 1 species
AGUGAACGCUGGCGGUAGGCCUAACACAUGCAAGUCGAACGGCAGCACAGUAAGAGCUUGCUCUUACGGGUGGCGAGUGGCGGACGGGUGAGGAAUACAUCGGAAUCUACUUUUUCGUGGGGGAUAACGUAGGGAAACUUACGCUAAUACCGCAUACGACCUACGGGUGAAAGCAGGGGAUCUUCGGACCUUGCGCGAUUGAAUGAGCCGAUGUCGGAUUAGCUAGUUGGCGGGGUAAAGGCCCACCAAGGCGACGAUCCGUAGCUGGUCUGAGAGGAUGAUCAGCCACACUGGAACUGAGACACGGUCCAGACUCCUACGGGAGGCAACAGUGGGGAAUAUUGGACAAUGGGCGCAAACCUUAUCCAACCAUACCGCGUGGGUUAAGAAGGCCUUCCGGGUGUAAAGCCCUUUUUGUGGGAAAGAAAAGCAGCAGGUUAAUACCCCGCUGUUCUGACGGUACCCAAAGAAUAAGCAACGGCUAACUUCGUG